UACGAGGGGGCGAGCGUUGUUCGGAAUUAUUGGGCGUAAAGGGUGCGUAGGCGGUUUGGUAAGUCUUGUGUGAAAUCUCCAGGCUCAACUUGGAGUCUGCACGAGAAACUGCCGGGCUUGAGUGUGGGAGAGGUGAGUGGAAUUCCUGGUGUAGCGGUGAAAAUGCGUAGAUAUCAGGAGGAACACCUGUGGCGAAGGCGGUUCUCUGGGCCUGUGACUGACGCUGAGGAGCGAAAGCGUGGGGAGCGAACAGG
rnacentral:rRNA from 1 species